rnacentral:tRNA from 1 species
GCUGGCCGAUGGCCAGGGAGAAGCAGAGGCUGAAGUUGUCGGUUUCAAUGGCGACAAGCUUUUUUUGAUGCCGCUGGUUGAAACCAGCGGGCUGGUGCC